GACCGAAUGGCGUAGUGGUUAGUAACCUGACUAAUGAGCCGAUGGUCCCGGGUUCGAUUCCCGGCUGGGGCA
rnacentral:tRNA from 1 species